rnacentral:lncRNA from 10 species
CUAAAUCAGUUUCAGUCUCGAGGUCCCCGGGCUGCUUCUUAUUUAUGAUCAGAUCAAGGGUAUAAGGUGUCAGUGGGGGCAGCCAGCAGUCAUAGGCCAGAGAGGGGCGACUGCCCGUCCCAAGGGCUUGUCACAGGGUAAGUAACCGACAGACUGGGAAAGGAAGGAGGCAAUCUUCAGCCACUCGGUCACUCAUUCUAAAUUCACUCUCAUUUUUUGGGCAUCUAUUGUGCAAGCCCUGUGGACUUAAAAAGAGAAAUAAGACGCCGUCCCUGCCCUCGGGAGCUCCCGGCGCAUCUGCCCCAACAACUCGCUGAAGCCGCCUGCAGGACGCCUGAGUGAGGACAAGGUGUCUCACUCAGAAAAUUUGCUUGAUUCUUCCUGGCAAGUGGGACAGGGUGAGCUUCCCGGAGGAGGGGACCUUCGAGCUGUGUAGCGGGGAAGGUAGGAGAGCGAUGAGAGCGCCCGGAAGGGACAAGCAUUCGGGGAGACUGAAGCGCAUUCAACAACAUAUUUAUUGAGCACCUACUACGUCCAGGCACUGUUACAUCGGUGAUGUAACAAAAGCCGACAAAAACCCUCACCCCGAGCGCAGGCACCGCAGAGGGCGAUGACGACCCGAGAAGAUGCCGAACGCAGGCCAGGAGGGGGCUCUGGGGAAAAGCAAAGGCAGGGGAGGUUGCCCAUCGGGGAGCCUCGCGUCCCUGGGCCCUCCGUACUCUGCACAUAUGCAGAGGCCCCCACCCGUCCUGUAACCGCAAACUGCUUGGCGUGACUUGGCCAGCGGAGGGAGGAGCCCAGGCUGCAGGACAAGCAGGAGUCAGGGGUAGGUGCGGUGGAGUGAUGGGGUCGCGGCAGAUUGGGCGUGGAAACCGCGCUGGGCAGCCAGCCUGAGGGGUGCGUAUCCACCGCGGCAGGGACGCGGGUGAGAAAGGAGCCCCGGGAGGACGGGGCGGGGCUCCUAGGGUUCUGGCUGAAGGGACCGGGUGGAUGCGGACCGACUGAAAACGCUCGCAAACACAUAUGGCUGCUGGGGAGUGGGGCCCCAGUCACCCGGUGCUCAAAGGCCCUGUGUCCAUUAGAGGAAGUCCUGGCCUCGGGGCCUCUCCUCGUGGCCGUGAUCCCACGGUUCUGGGGCCCUGCAGGAGCCCAAAGCUGAGGGGCCCGGAAGGCUGGAAACAGCCAUUCUUCUCUCAUUGGGGUGUCUUUCAACAAAUUUUCUUGAGCACGUUCUCUGUUCUAGAGGAUACAGUAAUGGAUAAAACACACGUUCCCGCCUGCAUGGCGUCUACAGCCUAGUAGGCGAGUCCCUGCAGUUGCUGGGGAAAGUGGACUCUUCUGGUAGCUGCUUUUACAGCCCCUGCCCUCAGAGGCCCCCCAGGUGGGAAGGGCCUGCCUCCUAGGCAGUGGGUGGUCACCGAGGACUGACUUUGAACCCGGGGCAAGGGAGCCCCAGAAGGCUGGAGGCCUGCACACGGCACUGGAAGAAACAAACUGCAAAGGCUGUCCCUCAGGGCUAUCUCCACAGCCACCGGAAUGCGGCCUGGAAUAUCCAAACCUGUCAGCCCACCUGCACCCAGCCAGACAGCGACCAUUCUAGCUGCUUCCCCGGAGGCCUGCUGACCCAGAGAGGUGUCAAAAAGCUGAAGCACAACAGACAGACCUCCCACAGACUCAGCAGGGAGUUGGAGGACAGUCGGCACACCAGCAGCUGUAGCCCAUCACCUCCCCCCUCCCCAUUCACCUGGUAUGCAGCACUUAAGGGCUUGCUGAAGCCCCAGCAAAGCAGAGGCCCACCUGAGAGCUUGGAAACACACCUAUGCCCCAGACCACCGCAAUCGCAAUCUCCAGUCAGCCCUGGCCACCACAGUGAACUGCCUAAGUGCCCCAGAUGACUGAGUCACAAGCCAGGGCUGGGAAGCACUGCAUGAAAGGCGGCCUUCUCUAGACAAGGCUGGACACACCCCUGCAAGGCCUGUCUCCUAGGAGCUGGGAUGAAACUCUGGACGAUGUGCUGGGAACAAAGAAAACCCACAUGGUAAAGGCUCGCUUUUCCUUGGGAAUCUGCAAUGCUUACAGAACGGGAAAGGCUGAAAGCCGCCCACAGUGCCGCACCUGGGCCUGAGGGCUGGUGUACCCACCCUCUCCCGGAGGAAACAAGACCCGUGACCAGACUCAAAACCACCUCACACCCUCACAAUCCUUACAGAAUAUUCAAAGACUGGCACUUCAACCUUACAACCUGAGCACGUCUAAAUGCCUAACACAAUACCAAGCACACUGUAUGCCACGCUUUUAAAAGGUAGAGAUCUUAAAAAAACAAAAAACACUACCUCGGGUAUGAAGACAGAUUUUAUGAUGCCAGUCAUUUCCAGAGGGGCUGCCCGCUGUGGCACAGCACCACCUGGUGGCCACCCCAACCCAUGCACCUCCCCCCAUCCCAGUACCCUGACAGCAAGCCAAUGAAAGAGGUGUUAAUAUGGCUAUUUUCCAACUGAGGAAACAGGCAAAAGUGUAGUCAUUUCUCCAAGUCAGUCAAGUUAGCGAGUGGUAGAUGUGCUAUACCUUGUUGCACCCAUUUUGGGACCUGUUUGAAUGGCAUGCCCCACCAUCGCUCCCACAUCUGCCAGUUAUGUUUAACCCCACGUGCUAUUUCCAUCAUGGCCUCCCCACAUCUUAUUUUCAAACAGGCUGAAAACAGAUGGCCUCAUUUGCCGACUGAGAUCAUGCUCAAGAUUAGGGAUGCACCGGGCACGGAGGCUCAUGCCUGUAAUCCCAGCACUAUGGGAGGCUGAGGCAGGCAGUGAAACCCUGUCUCUACUACAAAUACAAAAAUUGGCCAGGCGUGGUGAUGUGUGCCUGUAAUCCCAGCCACUCGGGAGGCUGAGGCAGGACAGUCGCUUGAACCCAGGAGGCGGAGGUGGUAGUGAGCUGAUAUCGCACCACUGUGCUCCAGGAUGAGCCACAGAGCAAGACUCCGUCUCAAAGAAAGAAAAAAAAAAAAAAAAAA